GGUAGCGAGGAGGAUUCUGAGCCCUUAGAGGGUUAAGUUAUUGUAUUUUUCAGUUUUUAUGUUUAUUUCUAUUUGUAUUUUCGGAUUAUGUAUUUUGACUUUGGUUUUGUACUCUUGGGGUGUUUUGUCCCCCAUGAACAAAUUUAUAUUUUUAGUUAAUGUUAUUUAUUUAUGUUUUUAAUUUUGUUUGUUUAAUAAAUUUUUGGUUGAUUGAGUGGCAAACCUUCUAGAUUGGUUGCUCCUCAAAGAAGUACCCAAUGAAGGUGCAUCCGAGCUUGGAUGGCAAUGAUAAGAAUAAAC
rnacentral:lncRNA from 1 species